rnacentral:rRNA from 1 species
AUUGAACGCUGGCGGCAGGCCUAACACAUGCAAGUCGAGCGGAUGAAGGGAGCUUGCUCCUGGAUUCAGCGGCGGACGGGUGAGUAAUGCCUAGGAAUCUGCCUGGUAGUGGGGGAUAACGUCCGGAAACGGGCGCUAAUACCGCAUACGUCCUGAGGGAGAAAGUGGGGGAUCUUCGGACCUCACGCUAUCAGAUGGGCCUAGGUCGGAUUAGCUAGUUGGUGGGGUAAAGGCCUACCAAGGCGACGAUCCGUAACUGGUCUGAGAGGAUGAUCAGUCACACUGGAACUGAGACACGGUCCAGACUCCUACGGGAGGCAGCAGUGGGGAAUAUUGGACAAUGGGCGAAAGCCUGAUCCAGCCAUGCCGCGUGUGUGAAGAAGGUCUUCGGAUUGUAAAGCACUUUAAGUUGGGAGGAAGGGCAGUAAGCUAAUACCUUGCUGUUUUGACGUUACCAACAGAAUAAGCACCGGCUAACUUCGUG